AUAGCAAUGCAAUUAGUAAAAAUGAAAUCAAGUAUUUAUAAAUCUAAUUAAACAAACCAAAUUCAAAUGAUCAUAAGAAAAUGAAAAUGCAGCUUGCAUUCAAAUUCAAAAAGUAAAUGAAAAUCAUUAAGGCUUCAGCAUUAGUGUUGAGUGUAUACUCUAUCAGAGCCCGAAUAAAGAAAACAAAGGCACUUAAGAAAAAAAAGAAGAAAAGAAAUAAAGUGAUAAUAUUUGUCUACCUAGAAAUAGCAAUAAGGUGAAUUAAAAAGUAAUAGUAUUUGUCUACCUAAAAGGCCAAAGAGGAAUGUGAAAUAAGGUGGUUAAUUAAAAAGAAGGUAUUUAUAGUGGGGAAAAAGAAGCAGCAGAAGGCGCAUGCAACAUGCAAGUGGCUAAUUAAAGAGGAAUGUGCAUUAAGGUGGUAUUGUGUGGUAAUAUUAUAUUAGCUUUAAUUUUUGUUUUCUCUCUUCAUAUAUAUUUGGUCAUUUUAUAAUUAAUUUGAAUC
rnacentral:lncRNA from 1 species